UACGAGAGGUGCAAGCGUUAUUCGGAAUCAUUGGGCGUAAAGGGUGCGUAGACGGCGUGAUAAGUCUGUUGUUAAAUAUCCUGGCCUAACCAGGAAAAUGCAAUGGAAACUGUCAUGCUAGAGGGUGAGAGAGAGAAGUGGAAUUCCAGGAGUUAGCGGUCAAAUGCGUAGAUCUCUGGAGGAACACCGAUGGCGAAGGCAGCUUCUUGGCUCAUUCCUGACGUUGAUGCACGAAAGCGUGGGGAGCAAACAGG
rnacentral:rRNA from 1 species